UCCGUAGGCGGACUAAUAAGUCAGGGGUGAAAUCCAACAGCUUAACUGUUGAACUGCCUUUGAUACUGUUAGUCUUGAAUUAUAUGGAAGUAGAUAGAAUGUGUAGUGUAGCGGUGAAAUGCUUAGAGAUUACACAGAAUACCGAUUGCGAAGGCAGUCUACUACGUAUAUAUUGACGCUAAUGGACGAAAGCGUAGGGAGCGAACAGGAUUAGAUACCCUGGUAGUCC
rnacentral:rRNA from 1 species